GUGAAAAUUGGUAGGCCUGGCUAUAGGGUGACAAAACAGUUUGAUCCAGAGACAAAACAAAGAUCUCUCCUUUUUCAGAUUGAAUAUCCUGAGAUUGAAGACAAUACAAAGCCGAGGCAUAGAUUUAUGUCCUCCUUUGAGCAGAAAAUCCAGCCAUUUGACAAAAGAUAUCAAUAUCUUUUGUUUGCUGCAGAACCAUAUGAGAUCAUUUCUUUUAAGGUACCAAGCACAGAGAUUGACAAGUCAACUCCAAAUCCGGCCGCCGGCUCUGUUCAUCG